CCUUCUUAUCUAUCGGACCUUUUGUGCUGGAAACACCCGACCGCGGCUCUGCGGACAAGCGUCGCACUGUCGGAGGAGCGGAGUUUUCCUGCAUAGCGUGAAACCCGUGAGGACCCGGCGCUGGAAGCACCUCGCAUACGUUCCCCCGUGCUGUUAUUGAAGCACAGACCCAGAAGACACGUUGGACAGAGGAUGAUGAAGAAGGGAAAUAAUGUUUCAGCAGUCAGCACUUUGGAUUCCCUUGAUGUUUGCUGGGAGGAAAUUUAAGCCCAUCUUUUCUCGGGAUUUCCAGUGAUUGAAUUAAAUCUCGCAUUUAAGAGACAGCGAACUGCGACUUUACACAGAUUGAUCGGCUGCAUAAUGCUCCGAGGCAUGAAAUGAAGUUGAUAGCUUGAGCAGCGUUUGCUGAUCCAGAACACGACGUAACGGAAGUACCUGUGCUUUUGCUUGGCUCUCGUUUUGUCCACGUACACCUGCAGCUCCAGGCGCAGCGGCCUCAGCACAGCCUGCGGCCGAGGGCCACGGUGCACCAGUCUGCACACGGCCCGCUCCGCUCCAGUCAGGGGGCAGGGCUGCGAUGCCAUGGAGACGGCCGCCUGUCUCCGUCUAUGCAGACGAUGAACCGCUCUUCAAACGGUGACCGGAGUUUCCAAUCUGGAGGUUCUACACA